rnacentral:rRNA from 1 species
UAGGGAAUCUUCGGCAAUGGGGGCAACCCUGACCGAGCAACGCCGCGUGAGUGAAGAAGGUUUUCGGAUCGUAAAGCUCUGUUGUAAGAGAAGAACGUGUGUGAGAGUGGAAAGUUCACACAGUGACGGUAACUUACCAGAAAGGGACGGCUAACUACGUGCCAGCAGCAGCGGUAAUACGUAGGUCCCGAGCGUUGUCCGGAUUUAUUGGGCGUAAAGCGAGCUCAGGCGGUUUAAUAAGUCUGAAGUUAAAGGCAGUGGCUUAACCAUUGUUCGCUUUGGAAACUGUUAAACUUGAGUGCAGAAGGGGAGAGUGGAAUUCCAUGUGUAGCGGUGAAAUGCGUAGAUAUAUGGAGGAACACCGGUGGCGAAAGCGGCUCUCUGGUCUGUAACUGACGCUGAGGCUCGAAAGCGUGGGGAGCAAACAGG